GACGAACGCUGGCGGCGUGCCUAAUACAUGCAAGUAGAACGCACAGUUUAUACCGUAGCUUGCUACACCAUACACUGUGAGUUGCGAACGGGUGAGUAACGCGUAGGUAACCUGCCUGGUAGCGGGGGAUAACUAUUGGAAACGAUAGCUAAUACCGCAUAAUAUUGAUUAUUGCAUGAUAAUUGAUUGAAAGAUGCUAUUGCAUCACUACCAGAUGGACCUGCGUUGUAUUAGCUAGUAGGUGAGGUAACGGCUCACCUAGGCGACGAUACAUAGCCGACCUGAGAGGGGGAUCGGCCACACUGGGACUGAGACACGGCCCAGACUCCUACGGGAGGCAGCAGUAGGGAAUCUUCGGCAAUGGACGAAAGUCUGACCGAGCAACGCCGCGUGAGUGAAGAAGGGUUUCGGAUCGUAAAGCUCUGUUGUAAGAGAAGAACGGGUGUGAGAGUGGAAAGUUCACACUGUGACGGUAUCUUACCAGAAAGGGACGGCUAACUACGUG
rnacentral:rRNA from 1 species